AUCGUGCACGAGCUGCUCCUCCCCAAUCCCUGCACAGCCGCCAUCCACCCAAUCGCCAAGCUCCUCCUCUCCAAUGCCUCUCCUCCUCCUCUCUCUCCCAGCCGCCGCCUUCGCGCCUCUCCUCAUCCACGACGCAUCCCCUCCCGCUCUCCUCAUUCGUGUUGAGGCUGGCGUCUGCUCUCUGCCCCCCCCCCCCCUUGCGCUGCCAUCUGCGGCCUCGACCCGCCCGGUCGAAAUACACGUGGCUGUGGCGACCCGGGAGUAGUGGUUCCUAUGAGAUUUCGCGGCUGUGGGCGAUUUCCUGGCCGGGAUGCUCCUCCUCGCUGUCGAUCUGGCCGACGGCAGGGCGGUUCAUAGCUGGGAACGGCCAUCGGAGCUCCUGCCCCCGCCCCCUGCUCGCACCAAAGGACGGUUUCUUUCCCUCCCUCUCUCUAUAUAUUCCCGGUAACCUCAUUUUUUAGUUAAGCUGCACAUCGCAUCUGGUUAUGUCCCUGCUGUUGUACAGGAUACCACCUCUUUCCUUCUUUCUCUUACCAAUUGUUUUUGCUCAUAGUUCUAUGCUUUAAAUCGGUUGAGAAAUCUAACAGUUUUUCUGUGGCUACUAUACAGAUCUGCUCGAAUACUGCUCAAUUUCUCAGUUUUCAAAUUGCUUGGGGCGAAGAUUCGGUUAAGUGUAAUCUUCAAUCACUAUAUUUGGAAAUUGACUACUGCAAGUUCCAUUUCAGGUCAUGGUUGUCUUACAAUAAUGUGGAGUGCUGCAAAAAAUAUGUCUUCGCUGGCUGGCACUUUGAAUUUGUCCCCAAGGUGUGGUUCUUAUGUGCUAGGCGCCCUAAAUUAUCGGUGAAGUAUUAUAUAUAUUGUUGAAUGGAGGAAGAUAAGUUCAUAGGCUCGGGAUCCAUCUUUUGAUGAAAAAGAAAGGGAAUGGUGCAUAUCAAAGUAAGUUCUUAAUCUGUGUAUGCCACUUUAUCUACGUGUAGACUUAUUUCCAUGGUGUCCAGAUUUGUUCUUAGAGGCCCGUACAGAGGUGGAAGUUCUUUCAUUGUCAAAUUAUAAAUAUUAGUCCUAUGCGGUCCAUCCUACUACAAGAGUACCCAGCAAGAUUUCCACAAAUUAUUUGCUUUUCUGCAAAUGUUCGUUCCUUUUAAAGAAAAGUACAUCCUACGGUCCUAGCUUGAACCUUCGGUCGUAUAUAUGUGUCGGUGUACACCCUGCAUGUGUGUAGAUCCAACUAUUAUGUAGCCCACUUAUAUGCUAUUUCUGACAAUAAGUAAGACUGUCAACAAACCCAUGUUCCAGAAACAAGAAUGUUUUUGAGCCUUUCAUGUACAGCCAACAGAAGUAAAUAAUAAUAACACCUACGGCUUUAAGGUGAAUAAACAAUGCAACAAACAAUCAUACGGAAAGAAUUAGCCUAUCAAUAUUUUGUACAGAAACAAUUGAGGAAAUAUAAAUGACUUUGCGGUACUUACCAAUUACAGGUUCAACUUCGGUAUUUUAUCAUCAUGAUGGCUCUUUGUUAGUAAUAAGUAUUAAAAGUUAGUUAUGUUGGUCUUUCAUCCUUACAGUGCAAUCAGAAACCUCUUAAGGUUUACAAACUGUUUUUUUAUUUGGAAUUUUCCCUUUGUGUCUUUUUUCCCUUCUUGAUACCAGACUCCUCCUUGAAUGUUUACAGUAAUGUUUUCACUCCAACUUUGAAAGUUGGACCAGUUCAUCAUCUACCUUGAAUAAGUUCCUGAAUUCUAAUGCAAGUAUCAUUUUGUAACUUAUGUCUUCCUGCGUUGCAUGAUCCGCUGGUUAUCCGUUGGUUAAUCCCUAUUUUCAUCUGUAUACUGAUGUCACAGUUCGCUAUUAUUUUAUAUGCUUUAUCAGAGAGGUUCGCUCUCACAUGUGCAAGAGAUGAUUUGAAGAUUGCAGUGUAGACUUAGAGGAACAACUAUGAGAGGCCAACACUUAGCGGUUCCAGCUUGAAACUCUAUCUGGAGAUGCAUGUUGAUUUGUAUCUAUGUAUUUUUCUAGGACCGAUAGUAGUGCAUAGCAUAUACAAAUUGGUGUUGAACACAUGGAGAUCCAAGACAUAGUCGACCCCAAGUCACCAACUUCUUGUCCUCCACAAACAAAAUGUUGUGGGUUUUUGCUCAAGUCACUAUCCACUGAUGCGAGAGAGCUUGUGCCCUAGCUCUUCAAGUGUGUUCCUUGCCUCUGGGGUCUUGUUGUGAGCACUCUUCGGAUUCUUACCGUUUAUGCUACUGAGCUUUGUUCACGUUCUAUGUAUCAAAGUGAAGGAAGUCACCUAAGCUUCUCAUGUACUCCCAAUUGUUUAGUGGACAAGAACUACUGGAGUAUAUAUGUAGACCUUACACAUGGAGAAGCAAUGUAUUUUUCUCUGAACUUAUACCGCUACUUCACUAUGUGUAAUAUAUUUCUCUGCAUUUUAUAGGUCUGCUUGUUUUUGGACGAUUUAUCAUUGAUCCUUAUAGAUGCAUAAUAGUAUUUUCCCAAUUGUUUACCAA